UCUCUUUUUUUCCAUCACUCCACCCGCACCCGUUUGAUAAAAAUGAAACCCAUUUUUGAUUAGAGAGGAUCUAGUUGGAAGAAUAACAAGCGGUUUGGAUUUUGAUAACCAAACUCAAUUCACUAUAACUGAGGGGUUCGUUCUUAUUUUUGUCAUGCUGCCGCUUCCAUUUAGAGCUACAAAGACCAGUUUUCUUCUUCAUUCGAUUUUCAAGAGAUAAGAAAGUUGAUUGCACCCAAUAAAUGAAGCAGGGGAUAUAAUUUACUUCACUUUAUUUCUCGAAAGAUGGAGUUUAGCAGCACGACUGAUUGGAAUUGAGGUAGAGCUUGAAACAACGCUCUUUAUGCAUUUGCAAGCGCUCUGACGGUCAGUUAUUGUACGUGCAGCGUUGAGGACAGAUUUAAUCGCACUACAACAUUCUGAUUGCACACUUAAUCCACCACCUAACACAUACCCAAGACAUGGUUCGAGGCUAGUAUACACAAAGUUGCACAUGACAGCUGUAGUAGAUGCUACUCUGGUGGUGGCCGUGCCCCCCGCAAUGCACAUGAGAAGCAAAGGAAAUAGUUGCUUGUUUAGCAUUGUGGAGAUGAUCUGCGAUGUGUGAUUUCCUUAUCAAAUGUGUGUGUAUAUAUAUAUAUAUGAAUCAACGGAACAAGUCAAGUUGGCCCAUAUCAAGACACCAAUUAAAGGUUUUGGGCCACCACCACAAAUGGAAUCAAACAUGUGAAGCACAAAAGUAGUUGAUAUAGUAUGAGGUUUCGUAUUAAAUAAGUUCUUGAAAAUAGGGGUAAAAAAAUGUUCCAUCAGCAAUGGAUUGAGUACGUAUUAAAUGAGAAGUUCUUCAAAAUAAAGGUAAAUGGGUAUCCAUCCAUAUGUAAUAAUCCGUUUCGAUCGUUAUGGAUAGAUCAAGGGUGAAAGAAUUGAGCCAGAAAACUUUUUGGGUAGUGACUAGAGAAUUUUAAGUUAGGCCAGUCUCAGACAAAAAUCUGAGUGAGGUAAGGUCUAGGACAAUACAUGAAUGGAGUGGGAUGAUUCUAAGUAUGGAUUGAUUUUUCUAAUAGACAAGACAUUAAGGAGUUCAUAGAGCUUUACGAAAUUGAAUUCGGGUAAGUAGAACUCCUGAAAAUUAACUUGGCGUGAAAAGGAUGAUUUGGAAUGUUGAGGAUCGAAGGUGUGUUGUAAAAUAGGGCCUAUUGAGGGAAUUUUGAGUUGCAGUACUGUGCAAGGAGCUAUAGCAGGUGGUCGUCGCUAUAGCGGGAGAGAAGGCGCUACAGAGAGGAACAUCAAGCGCUAUAGCGGGUUGUUGGGCGCUAUAAGUUGUCGAACCGCUAUAGCAGGGUAAGUCGAGAUUUAGAGUAGAAAAUUCUCAAAACUAGUUAUUAUUUGAUCAUCUCGUUUUGGAGAACUGCAAGGGCGACUUAGGGCUUUUUCAGUAGUGUUUCAUCGUGUUUUUCGAAUAAGGUAAGUUAUUUACUCCCCCAACUUGCAAAUUCAAUUUUUAAGCUUUAGAAUCCAUGGGAGUAACCUUGGGGAAGAGUUUUAACUUGAAAUUGAUGGUGGGAAGCCCUAGUUUUGGUGGAAUAAUCAUGAAUUGGCAUGGGGUUAGAAUUUGAGUAUAAUUCGAAUUUAAUUAGAUUAUUAUCAUUGAUUGUUUAUAUUUUAUUAUUGUUUUAGACCAAGAACAAGCUAGGAUUCGUAACAAGGGGAAAGCUAAGGUUUCAUAGAGUUUUCAAGGCUUUAUUCGAGGUAGGUGAUGAUUUGUGUGUUAUCAAAUUUUGUAAGUAUGCAUGUAUAUUAUUUUGUAAUAUUACUUGUGCAAUGCAUGUUAAGGAACUACUAUAGGGCUAAUGUGAAAUGACACUAUGGUGAUAAUUUCAUGCAAUGAAUCUAUUAUUUACUUAUGGCUUCAAGUGUGUUAGUUCAUUGUGAUCGUGAUCGUCCAUGUUGUUUGUGAUUGAUGGUUGGCUCGGGUACCACGCCUAGUACAAAUAUCUAAAUGAUUGGCUCAGGUACCAUACCUUUACAUGAUAUUUAUAUGGUUGGCUCGGGUACCACGGUUGGUAUGAUUCAUUAAUGGUUGGCUCUGGUAUUGCACCGGUACACUAACAAUUUGUGCAUGAGUUCUAUGAAGAUCGGGUAUGUGCUUUAUGUGAUAAUGUGGGACAUGUUUCACUUAUUGGUUGUUCAGGAUAUUGUGAUUGGAAAUUUGGGUUAUGUUGUAAUUGUUGGAAAAAUGCGGACUAACACAAAAAAUAUAUAGAUCCAAAUAAUGAAAUAAAAUGAGAAAAUAAUGACACCAAAUUUUUUAUGUGGAAACUCUUUUAAAUAAGAAAAAAAAACACGGCCAAGAGGAGCAACUAAUAUCACUAUAGUAAGGAAUUUUACACUGGGUAAUACCGAGUACAGUACUCAAAAAUGAAUACCACACACUCAAAAGGAAUAACACUCUUUUGAUUUAUCACUUUACUAAAAUAUCGCUUACAGUCUAUUUUUCUUUACACACUAUUUUCUUAUACUCUAUGAAAU